AACGAACGCUGGUGGUAUGCUUAAUACAUGCAAGUCGAACGGGCAUAGCAAUAUGUCAGUGGCAAACGGGUGAGGAAUAUAUAGGAACCUCCCUAGCAGUAAGGAAUAACUUUGGGAAACCAAAGCUAAUGCCAUAUAUUACCCCUUAAUCAAUUAAGCGGGAAAGAUUUAUCGCUGUUAGAUGGGCCUGUAUCAGAUUAGCUAGUUGGUAGGGUAAUGGCCUACCAAGGCAAUGAUCUGUAGCUGGUCUGAGAGGAUGAUCAGCCACACUGGAACUGAGACACGGUCCAGACUCCUACGGGAGGCAGCAGUAGGGUAUAUUGGACAAUGGGCGCAAGCCUGAUCCAGCAAUACCACGUGAGUGAUGAAGGUCUUCGGAUUGUAAAGCUCUUUUAGUAGGGAAGAUAAUGACGGUACCUACAGAAAAAGCACCGGCUAACUUCGUGCCAGCCGCCGCCGUAA
rnacentral:rRNA from 1 species